GAUGAAGAACGCAGCGAAAUGCGAUAAGUAAUGUGAAUUGCAGAAUUCAGUGAAUCAUCGAAUCUUUGAACGCACAUUGCGCCCCCUGGCAUUCCGGGGGGCAUGCCUGUCCGAGCGUCAUUUCUGCCCUCCAGCCCGGCUGGGUGUUGGGCGCUGUCCCCCCGGGGACACGCCCCAAAGGCAGUGGCGGCGCCGCGUCGGGUCCUCGAGCGUAUGGGGCUUUGUCACCCGCUCGGGACGGACUCGUCGGCGCUGGUCUUCCUCCAGGCGACCCUUCGGGGCUCGUCUUCCUUCGGUUGACCUCGGAUCAGGUAGGGUUACCCGCUGAACUUAAGCAUAUCAAUAAGUGGAGGA
rnacentral:misc_RNA from 1 species